GAUAGCACGGCCGUGUCGUGGUCAGUAGGCGAGAGUCCCCGCGUGUGCCGAGUCCGGCACCACUGCAGCACGCCGCACAAGGACUCGCCGGUCCCGCGGGACUCGCGGACCGACAGGACUCUACCCCUGCAGGUGUGUUUGUGUGUAAGUGUAGACGAUAGCACGGCCGUGUCGUGGUCAGUAGGCGAGAGUCCCCGCGUGUGCCGAGUCCGGCACCGCUGCAGCACGCCGCACAAGGACUCGCCGUACCCGCGGGACUCGCGGACCGACAGGACUCUACCCCUGCAGGUGUGUUUGUGUGUAAGUGUAGACGAUAGCACGGCCGUGUCGUAGUCAGUAGGCGAGAGUCCCCGCGUGUGCCGAGUCCGGCACCGCUGCAGCACGCCGCACAAGGACUCGCCGGUCCCGCGGGACUCGCGGACCGACAGGACUCUACCCCUGCAGGUUUCAAAUUGGCUGAGAGUGACGGGUCCAAAUUCGCCGCGCUCAGCGUUGGCAGCUAAAAACGUGGGACACAACGUCAGUUUUGGUUUUUAAUUCAUAUUAUAUAUAGAUUUUUUUAUAUUGUGACAUUUACUAAUAAUUUCCAAUAGUGCCACAAACUUGUCUGAUCUGUGGUACUUGCGACCAGUGAAGAGAAACAUAGACAAUAGGAGAUGGUCCAUUUCAGGCCCACUCUUGUACCCUGUACCAUUAAAAUUUAAAAAAUACGAUGAUUUUGUUAAAAUCUAAACAAGUAAAUAAAUCUUAACUAAAUAAAAAGAAAUAAAUAAAAUUAAAACCCAAUUUUUUUAGUUAUAUCAAGAAUGCCCCCUUAAAGCAACUAUGACAUGACAACUGACAGCUAACGUCAAAUCGACUACUGCGUUGAAAACGUCUACAAUCCGCCAUUUCUACCCAUGGGAGAGAAUGGAUAUUAUUUCGAAAGAAUUGAAGUAAAUUCGUAGACUUGUAUAAUCAAAAAUAGUUAAAAAAAAAUAUAUUUUAUUUGGACCAUCCCCUUUUGUCUAAUGGCGUCGGAGUUGUCCCAGUCACAUUUUCGUAUCAACGUAAUGCAAGUAAUAGCGGUAUUUCCCGUUGUACCGCCAUUGCUUGAGUUUUGCCUAUUUCUCUACACCAGGAUAACUCGGUGGUCGCAUGUUAGCGCCACAGGUGAGGGUGCCACUGUUGUCGCGAUUUUAGUAUGGCGAUAUUUUGCAAAAUGGCAAUCGCCGCGACGUUUGUUCCAGUUAUGGCCACUGGAUCAGAAAAGUUUGUGGCACUAUAUAUAAGUUAAAUUUUACAAGUGUUUUCACUCGAUCUAAUGUCGAUUUAAUUGACGAUGUUAGAUGAUAAUUUAACUGAUAUUACGAAAUUUAAUGUUAUAUUAAGUACUGUAGUGCUAACACAACCGUAAUAAGUCAGUAUAUCUAAGCUGUUUUGACAUGACAUUAGGCCGCCAUGUUGGAUUUAGAGUGACGUCACUCUAAUUCCAAUAUGGCGGACUCAGAAUUUUGGAGAACUAUAGGCAAACCACAACUGCACAUAAUAUUGAAUUGCUAAAUUAAUUAAAUAUUGUUUUGCGAACACAAACGCAAUAAAUAUUAUACCAAAUUUAUUUUGACCUAGCACUGGCAAUCAAGAUAUGGAAUGACGUCAUUCUAAAUCCAAUAUGGUGCUAUCAACACAACUUACACUAACAAACUCUGCUGCUAUAUAAUAUUAGUAAAGACUAUAGAUGAGUAAUCAAUUAAAUUAAUCUAUGUAUAUGAUUGUUUAAAUAAGACUAAGAAAUUGUCUAAAACAGCAUAAGGCUGAUUGUACAUUAACUAUAUUAUAUAAUCCGAUAAAUAAAUUAAUAUAGUUACAUAGUCGUAUCAGAUUUAUCGAAAAAAAAUGUGUACAAAGCCUAAAACAAAAUAGGCAAUAUAUAAUAUAUAUAUCGCAAAUAUUAAAAAAAAAUGCUCAAAUAUAUACUAAUAUUAUAAAACUGAAGAGUUUGAUUGUAUGUUUGAUUAAAAGAUCUAAUCUCUGAAACUACCAGAUGUACCAGAUUGUAAAAUAUAUUUUUUUCAAUCAAUCAAUCAAUCAAUCAUCGACUCCUGUGAUGUUGUGGUUUGCCUGUUUGGCUUAUGAAGUUCUAGGUUCAACGUUCAAAGACCCAGGUCGAAGAUCUGGCAUUAGAAAUAUAUACCCUCCAUAUAUAUACCUGGUAUUUAUUUGGGAUUAGAUAUAAAUAAUAGAAUAUAUUGACAUUGACACAUUGCAAAUGGGUUUCCUAGUUAAAUUGCGACCAAACAUAUUUUUCAUUCAAAAACCAAGAAAUCAUAAACUACAUAAAGGCAACCUAAUACAGCUAAAUUAAGCAUAAAAUAAGCUUUCAUUUUACAUAUUAUAAUUAACUAAACAAUUAUGUAUGAAAGAUGUGUUUGGCCGCAAUUUAACUAGGCAACCUAUUUGCAAUGUGAAUAUUUUCUUUUAUUUAUUUCUUAUCCCUAAUAAAUAACAGAUGAGGGUUAUUCCUUAUGCCGGUUUUCGUACUUUAAUAAAAUAUAAUUAUCCUUCUUCAUUAUUGAGCAUUCAAAGGAAACAAGUUUGACAAUGAUUGAUACAAUCCUAAAUGUUAACUCACCCACCAACCCAUAUCGGCAGCAUGGUGGGUCUAAAGUUAACUGGACUUAAAUAAAAACGAUAAAAUUGAUUUUUUUAGUAUUAUUGAUUUAGUUCAAAAAAAUUUAAUACUGUUCAAUUUGGACCAACAUUGGCAUAAUUGGCCAACAUUUGGGCCAACAAGUGGUCCCACAUUGUAUGUAAAACUAGUAUAGUGGACUAAAAACCUGCGAGAUCCUGACUUAGUCCUUUUCAUGAAAGAAGUCCCGCGGCUAAAACCUGAAUUAAAAUUGACAGCCAGACACAGAUGACAAUAACACCGCCAUUACCAAAUGACAGUGACUGUCAUUGAGAUGUUAGCGCCGCGUCUGGGGGACUUCUUUUAUGGAAAGGACUUUAACCAUCGCAGGCUGUCGUUCUGUAGAUAUUUGUGAAACGCAAUUGCAAUCAGAUUGACAUUUAACGAUUAUUAUUAUUAUUAUUAUUGAUAUUUGAAAUUCGAAUUGUUUAUUUUUUAUUUGACUGAUCGCUAUACUGAUUGCAAUGUCGUUCCGCAAUGAACCUUUUGUAUUUGAUAGAUAUAGAAAAUUGUUUUGAUGUAUAUUGACGUAAUAUUUUCUAUGAUAUUGUAGUAUUUUUAUGUGUAUCGGCGUCCUGAUUUUUUAUGCCAUGAAAAUAUUGCGAAUGACGUCAUUUGACAUGUCUUCAUACGUCAAGUAUAAAUUAUUGCUCACGAUUUUGUCAUAAAGAAUUAUGGCUCCGAUUUUAAGUAUGACAUGAUAUUUUCUUAGUGUUCUAUGUUAUUAACGCGUGUAACGUGUUUUUUUUUUUCUUAAUUUUGACAUUAAGGCUCGCGCACAUUAAAGCAGGUUACGUUUUAUUUUGUUUUAAGCAAUCUUGACAUAUUCUUUACGUUGGAAUUAUAAAAAACAUAGUCUAAUUUUUCUAAUGAAAAAAAUAACAUGGAAAAUAGUAAUAUUUAAAAAUGACAUUAAUUUAUUACUAUUAUUUGAUCAUAGAAUGAUAAUAUAAAGAUUUUUUUUAAGAAAAUGUCGUCGUAAAAUGAUCCUCCUUGAAUGAAGGUCAUUGCUCAUUACACACACUCGCAUCCGACGCGCGACCAUCCAGUGACACUACCAUGUGGACUUACACCAUGUGCGAUAUAGCAUGGUGCGGGUGAGUUUCAGUUACGUUUCGUUUCACUCUUGAAAGUUGCCGCGAUUUACAAAUUAUAUAAUAAAAUAAUAUUUUAUUGAUAUAAUAAAAAAUAAUAUAUUAAAUCAUUAAUAACUGUAGUAACUUAAAUUUAACUUAACAGAAUGUUCUAUUCUACAAAUAAAAUCAAAUUGAAACGAAAAUUAAGCAAAGUUUUAUGCUUAUAACGUAACGCCAUAGACUAUUGGUACUGUUACUGUUACUGACAGAUGUCAACGUCAUUCAGGCAACUGUCACCUGCACCAUGCUACAGCGCACAUAGUGUAGUGAGUAUAUGGUCAUGUGAAGGUUACUAAUUUCACAAAGCAAGGCGUGUGCCGAGUGGCUUUAAUGAGUUAUGACCCUUAAUGUCCGCUAGCCUUUACAGCACUUGACUAUUAGCACGCUAGAUAUAAGUAAUUUUUUUUUGUUUCCGUUUAAUUCAGUUGAAAAUUAAAAUGUGAUAAAAAUUUCUUAUAUUUAAAAAAAAUAAUAAUUAAAAUCAUUACACACACUCGCAUCCGACGCGCGACCAUCCAGUGACACUACCAUGUGGACUUACACCAUGUGCGAUAUAGCAUGGUGCGGGUGAGUUUCAGUUACGUUUCGUUUCACUCUUGAAAGUUGCCGCGAUUUACAAAUUAUAUAAUAAAAUAAUAUUUUAUUGAUAUAAUAAAAAAUAAUAUAUUAAAUCAUUAAUAACUGUAGUAACUUAAAUUUAACUUAACAGAAUGUUCUAUUCUACAAAUAAAAUCAAAUUGAAACGAAAAUUAGCAAAGUUUUAUGCUUAUAACGUAACGCCAUAGACUAUUGGUACUGUUACUGUUACUGACAGAUGUCAACGUCAUUCAGGCAACUGUCACCUGCACCAUGCUACAGCGCACAUAGUGUAGUGAGUAUAUGGUCAUGUGAAGAUUACUAAUUUCACAAAGCAAGGCGUGUGCCGAGUGGCUCUAAUGAGUUAUGACCCUUAAUGUCCGCUAGCCUUUACAGCACUUGACUAUUAGCACGCUAGAUAUAAGUAAUUUUUUUUUGUUUCCGUUUAAUUCAGUUGAAAAUUAAAAUGUGAUAAAAAUUUCUUAUAUUUAAAAAAAAUAAUAAUUAAAAUCAUUACACACACUCGCAUCCGACGCGCGACCAUCCAGUGACACUACCAUGUGGACUUACACCAUGUGCGAUAUAGCAUGGUGCGGGUGAGUUUCAGUUACGUUUCGUUUCACUCUUGAAAGUUGCCGCGAUUUACAAAUUAUAUAAUAAAAUAAUAUUUUAUUGAUAUAAUAAAAAAUAAUAUAUUAAAUCAUUAAUAACUGUAGUAACUUAAAUUUAACUUAACAGAAUGUUCUAUUCUACAAAUAAAAUCAAAUUGAAACGAAAAUUAGCAAAGUUUUAUGCUUAUAACGUAACGCCAUAGACUAUUGGUACUGUUACUGUUACUGACAGAUGUCAACGUCAUUCAGGCAACUGUCACCUGCACCAUGCUACAGCGCACAUAGUGUAGUGAGUAUAUGGUCAUGUGAAGAUUACUAAUUUCACAAAGCAAGGCGUGUGCCGAGUGGCUCUAAUGAGUUAUGACCCUUAAUGUCCGCUAGCCUUUACAGCACUUGACUAUUAGCACGCUAGAUAUAAGUUUAUUUUUUUUUUGUUUCCGUUUAAUUCAGUUGAAAAUUAAAAUGUGAUAAAAAUUUCUUAUAUUUAAAAAAAAAUUAAUUAAAAUCUACACAUAAUAUAGUACGUGAUAAUAUUUGUAUGUAAUAAUCUGAAUACUGAAACGAUUUUAAUAAUACAUAAUAUGCUGUUGAUUAAAAUAUACUUAUAAAAUAAAACUAAGUGUCGCGCAACUUUAAUGUCACUAAUUCAUAUGAAUUCAAAAUAGAAAUAAUAAUAAUUAAUAAAUACAGUUUUCACAAUAAAUAAUAUUACUUGACAUCACAAGUAUAUUGUAGUUAGGACAACAACGAAUGACGUCUAUAGUUUGUGUAACAAUCCCAAGACUACAGUCUCACCUGAUGGUAAGUGAUGAUGUAAGGGUUAACUUGUAAAGAAUAAAAAAAAAUAUCUAAGAUGGAAGCGGGUUAACUUCUUAGGAGGAUGAAAUCCACACCGACCACAGAUUGCAUCAUCACUUACCAUCAGGAGAGAUUGUAGUUAAGGGAUAACUUCUAAAGAAUUAAAAAUUUAAAAAUAACACAGCAUAUAUACAAUAGUUUUUGUCAUGAUUAUGUGAAUUAUUGGAUAUAAAAAAUGAUAAUCUCAUAUUUUGUACUAUUUUGUUUGUUUUAUCAAUGUGGGUUUAGUUUUUUUUUUGUGAUAGUUCUAGAUGUGACGCCGGUAUUUACUACAGAGUGUUUGUUUUUCGUUAGUAUUCGCACUAAAGUCAUACUUUUUUUUGUAUUAGUAUGUGAAACACAAAACCAACGGAAUCCGGGAAGUAACGUUUUCUUUAUAGUUUCUUGCAUGGUUUAGUGACUAAAAUAUGUAUUAUCUUCUAAACUUAAAAGAUUUUAUAAUAAAUAUAUAUAUUUUUCAUUAUUAUGAUUACUGCCAUCUAGCGAGUGUAUUUUAAUCUAAAACGUUUUUGUCUAUGAUGUGCAUAUUAUAUAAAAAGCGCAUAGUCUGUGGUAAAUACCGGUAUACUGUUAGAUGUAUUUCUCGUAGUUGCAUUUUUUACAAAUUCCAUGUAGUUACUCCGUUUUAGUGACAAUAACGUCCUCGUGUUAUACGCAUUUAAAAUAUUUUGAAAAUAAUAAUAAUUUAUGUAAAUAACAAGGUCGUAAACUAGCGAAAAGUUGUUUCGUGGGUUUAAAUCGGUACUGCGAAUACUGUAAUAUUUCAAAAAUAUAUAGAAAAAAAGGGUUAUGACCAAUGUCUUAAGUGCAGACUAUAUAACAAAUCAUGCUAUAUAACAUAUUUUAUUCGUGUGGACAUUUAGUGUGUACAAUCUUGUUUUAUGUUGCAAAGUUAUAUAAUAUGGACAUGUUAUAUACAUAAUGUGUUAUAUUACACGAUAAUUAAUCUGGAUUACUAAGUAGUUCUAACCAUACAUUCGCUAUAACGACCUUGUUGAUAUAUUUAGCAAAUCGCCAAACGUUAUAUGGAAUGUUGCUCCUAUAUGUUAAAUAUGCUAUAUAUGUUAAAAAACAAAGUUUGUACUUUUAUAUUUAAUGUGGUAAAAAUUGAUGUAUGUACAUAACAAAAUUAAAAGAAAAAAUGUAUGUUUUAUAUAUUUUAAUUCAUUAGAUAAAUAAAUUAUGACUGGUUAAAUCUU